UAAAAAACAAACAAAAAAAAGUAUUUGCGUUGCCAUGUAUUAGGGUACUGGACGAUGCUGUUAUGCAUAUGAGGUGAUGGCACAACCGGUAACUUGAAAAUGCACUUUUGCAAGGUGUAGGCCAUCGUAUUUCACGCUGUUAUCCUGUUGGAUAGCCAACUGGCCUUCGAGAAGUUGCUGUUUUUUUGACUCAAGGCAUGUACCAUGUUGAAUCGUUCACUCUCCUCAGUUCUUGCCAGCAGGACAGGCAACGCUGUCACCCUUUGUUCACACUGACCCUUUUAUUUAUUUUUUUAUUUUUCAGAUCCCUCUGAGCCAUGCAAAAAAUGCAAGGAAAACCGACACAAAUUACACAGCCUUUAGCAGCUCAAAUAACUGCCUUCAUAAGUGUAAGCAGUGCCUUUAGGUGUUUCGUAGUGUUACUAUGCUAGGAGGUUUCCUGCCUUCUAAAAGUGCAUAUGUGGUCAUGGAUUACAGCAGGAGGAUAUCCUCUUGAGCCACAUUGUAUUGAAUGAAGAGCCUGCGCGACUUCCAUUUUGCUGAACGGGAAUUGCCUCGCGGCUAUUUUAUGCUGCCCUCGCCGUGACUCCAAAACAAACACACGCACACCAGCUCGAGGCUUUUGAAGAAACCUGCACAGGUCCGAAUGACACAGCCCUUCCCUUCUGCUACAGGGGAGGGAAUGACAUCAGCGCUGAUGCCAAGAUUUAGCAGCUGAAUGACUUUUCAGUCACCCCUGCCUUAAUAUGAACGACAUAAAUUCUCAUAAAAGCUUUCUUUCCUGAAUAGUAACUCAUUUCAGAGACAGUUUGGGGAGGGAGGGAGCAAAGAGGGAUGGUUAAAUCGUCCCAUGUUUUCUAUGCCAUGAAA